GCAAUGAAGUGCGCACACACCGCCCGUCAUCCCUGUAAAAAAGUAUAAAUUAUUCAUAAACAAAUUAUUGACCACAAAGCAGGGCAAGUCGUAACAUGGUAAGCGUACUGGAAAGUGCGCUUAGAAA
rnacentral:rRNA from 1 species